AAAUUGAAGAGUUUGAUCAUGGCUCAGAUUGAACGCUGGCGGCAGGCCUAACACAUGCAAGUCGAACGGUAACAGGAAGCAGCUUGCUGCUUCGCUGACGAGUGGCGGACGGGUGAGUAAUGUCUGGGAAACUGCCUGAUGGAGGGGGAUAACUACUGGAAACGGUAGCUAAUACCGCAUAACGUCGAAAGACCAAAGAGGGGGACCUUCGGGCCUCUUGCCA
rnacentral:rRNA from 1 species